rnacentral:rRNA from 1 species
UACGAAGGGUGCAAGCGUUAAUCGGAAUUACUGGGCGUAAAGCGUGCGUAGGCGGUGAGUUAAGUCUGUCGUGAAAUCCCCGGGCUCAACCUGGGAAUGGCGAUGGAUACUGGCUCGCUAGAGUGUGAUAGAGGAUGGUGGAAUUCCCGGUGUAGCGGUGAAAUGCGUAGAGAUCGGGAGGAACAUCAGUGGCGAAGGCGGCCAUCUGGAUCAACACUGACGCUGAGGCACGAAAGCGUGGGAGCAAACAGG